rnacentral:rRNA from 1 species
GACGAACGCUGGCGGCGUGCUUAACACAUGCAAGUCGAGCGGAAAGGCCCUUCGGGUACUCGAGCGGCGAACGGGUGAGUAACACGUGGGUAACCUGCCCUUCACUCUGGGAUAACUCCGGGAAACCGGGGCUAAUACCGGAUACGACCACUUUAGGCAUCUUCGGUGGUGGAAAGUUUUUCGGUUGGAGGAUGGACCCGCGGCCUAUCAGCUUGUUGGUGGGGUAAGU